GUGCUCGCUUCGGCAGCACAUAUACUAAAAUUGGAACGAUACGGAGAAGAUUAGGAUGGCCCCUGCUCCAGGAUGACACGUGCAGAUUCGUGAAGCAUUCCAUAUUUUU
ensembl:snRNA U6 U6 spliceosomal RNA